rnacentral:lncRNA from 1 species
AAAGCUUACCAUGAGACUGUAUUUUAGUUUUUCUACCGACGACCCCUUUUCUUGUGGAACACUCAGUUUUGUUGAUGGAAGGAGUAUCAGCAGAGUUGUGGGCUUCUCGUGGUGACUGAAGGGUCCCUGUGGAUCCUGAAGCGCCGGCUGGGCUCAGGUGUCUGUCUGUCUGUCUGCUGCCGUUAGAAUGGGAAGCUCCUGCCACUCUAAGAGAAGAAGUCUGUCAGGGAAGGCAAGAGACGACAUGUUUUAAUUAUUCGAAUGGCAUCAGCAGAGGAAAGACCCGAAGAAGUGCUGUGAAACAGCAAACAUUACCUCGGGGCUGACUCCAUAACGCGCUCUUUACUGUGAGGUGAGGCUGUCUCCGGUUCUGCGCAUGCGCGCUGCCGCACUGCGGCCGCUCGGGCGCGUGGCACGCGCUUCCCGCCGCCGUGAGAGCGCGAGNNNNNNNNNNNNNNNNNNNNAGCGCCUCUGGGUGCCCUGCUCUCUGGCCACAGAGAGGGCUUUACUGCUGCUCUUUGAUCGUUUGUGGGCUCGGGUACUUCCAGCCAUAGUGUCGGCUUGCCUCAAGUGCUGAAGCGGCCUCUCCUGGAAUGGGGAGCACGGUGCGGUCCGGACAGCGCUGUGGGAAGGCAUCGCGACAUGGCCGAAGCAGAGGAAGGAAGAGCGGCACCAUCGCGUGCUGAGGCGGCGAGGAGAGCAGUGUUAUAAGAAAUAAUUUACCACAGGAGAUGCUGAAAUACUAGAUAUGAACACUAAUAGCUGUAGUCACAUCAGAGGCAUAUGUGCCAUUUAAUAGCAAGUCUGAAUCCCAUCAUUCAUUUGAACAUUGCAGAUUUUCAACAAGCAAGGUCUGCAUUUGGAAAGGUGUUUUCUGUUGCUUUUAUUGUGUCAUGAUGGGAAUUAAUGAGGACAGGAUGCUUCAGAAAAAAGUGGUGGAGAAUUGUUCUCAGAAGUUGUGGGCUGCUAUUGGAACUUCAGGCACUUAGGACUGAGGAGCACCCUCUCUUCAGUGCUUCCAGUUCUGGGGUCUCAGGCAUUUACUUGAUUGGAAUUGAAGCAGCCACUACUACUUCUGAAAUUCUUUUCGGAAAAACUAACAGGAGCUUUUUUAGAAAUGGUUCUAAAACAGCAAUUCUAUUCUAUUUCUUCAUCCUAUUUGAAAAUUCACUUCAUUCAGACAUGAAAAAAUAG